GACGUAGGGGGCGAGCGUUGUCCGGAUUUAUUGGGCGUAAAGCGUGCGUAGGCGGCUGCGCAAGUCGGGUGUGAAACCCCGGGGCUCAACCCCGGAACUGCAUCCGAUACUGCGUGGCUAGAGGUAGGUAGGGGAGAUCGGAAUUCCUGGUGUAGCGGUGAAAUGCGCAGAUAUCAGGAGGAACACCGGUGGCGAAGGCGGAUCUCUGGGCCUUACCUGACGCUCAGGCGCGAAAGCUAGGGGAGCGAACAGG
rnacentral:rRNA from 1 species